rnacentral:rRNA from 1 species
GAUAUGGCUCAGGAGUGAACGCUAGCUACAGGCUUAACACAUGCAAGUCGAGGGGCAUCAGGCUGCAGCAAUGCAGUGCUGGCGACCGGCGCACGGGUGAGUAACGCGUAUCCGACCUGGCCCUUGCUUGGGGGAUAGCCUCUCGAAAGAGAGAUUAAUACCUGAUGUGUGCGGGAUGUGCAUGUAUCCUGCAUGAAAGAUUUAUCGGCAAGGGAUGGGGAUGCGUCCCAUUAGGCAGCCGGCGGGGUAACGGCCCACCGGGCCCGCGAUGGGUAGGGGUACUGAGAGGUAGGUCCCCCACACUGGAACUGAGACACGGUCCAGACUCCUACGGGAGGCAGCAGUGAGGAAUAUUGGUCAAUGGGGGCAACCCUGAACCAGCCAAGUAGCGUGGAGGACGACGGCCCUACGGGUUGUAAACUCCUUUUGCGCGGGGGUAAAGUGCGCCACGAGUUGGUGUAUUGCAAGUACCGCGUGAAUAAGCAUCGGCUAACUCCGUGCCAGCAGCGGC